GGGUGGUUUAGGAAGCACCACAGCUGCUCUAUGCUACUGGAGGAUUCCCCUAACCCUGCCCUGGGAAACUCCUCUAGAGGUCAGUUAAAACAGGUCUAAGUCUCAACAGAAUGGCCCAUAAAUAACUGGUUCCAAAGAGAGAAGGAAAUGGCUUCUGCUUUCAUCAGCUUCACCUGAGGAACUACUGCUACAGAAAAGUUGGAGCCUGCCAACAAGAGGCCAGGAGAUCAGAACCGUUCACUGCUCUGAAGGAAGGAGAGAGAGCUACAACUCCUGGAGACUUCGGAAGAGAGAAAGCAUAGAUCCAGAGGUCCAGUUUCCCAACACAGAAUACAAGGAACUCUGAUUUCAGGAGGAAUCCUUCUUGCCACACAUUAGGGAAACCUUGGCUGCCUAGUCCUGAACAUGGUAUCCUCCAGAGUCCAUCAACACCACUCUAGAGAAUGGUCCUAGUGGAGCACUAGAGAACACAACAAGCUGCGGUAUGCUGGCUCCCUAAAGGUACUGCAACCCAAGAAAAGGUGACACCUCUUUGCCCCGCCCUUCCAACACAGGCAACCUCCUACUUGUUGAGCCAGACGAGAGAGGGUGCUGCUGUUUUGCUCUCCACAUUGUGAGCUGCUUCUUAAAAUGUUUCCUCUUUUCGCUCUCCCAUGUCUCCUGCCA